ACUCCCAGUUCUCUCUCAUCAUGUUUGAAUUUUGAAAUUCACAUUCCCUACUUCCACUCCCAGUUCUCUCUCUUGAUUCUUUGAUCUUGUUCUUUUUCAGGAGCAACCUAAAUCUCAAAGUCGGUCCGAUAUUGAAGGGUUUCUUAUCUUGAAUCGUUGUUAGGCGGCUACAAUUGAAUGAGCAAAUGGCUGAGAGGUAUGUGUUCUAUCAUAAUCGUAAGAAGGGUGAAGGGUUGUGCCAAACUGGGUUCCGAUCUGAGUUUCAAGGAUUUAUGACCUUUGACUGGGUUCUGAUUUAAGCAAACCAAAGAUACAGCAAUCAAGCUUGAUCUGGACGGGCUUGUUGUUAUUGGAGGACAUGAUUCAACACAAAUACUUGCCUUCAUGAAAAUCAACCUGCCAACAUGAAAGUUUUAGGAUCAAGAAUAGACUUGAGUCAUUAGAUGCCCAGAGGCCAUUGAUGGAGACUUGAAAUGUAAAGAAGUUCUUACAAGUUUUGGUGUCGAUACUGCAUGUAAGGAAAUUUCCUUUAUGUCCAUUUUCAUAUUAUUGUUAUAUUUUGUUGCUUCUUAUUUUGAGUUACAGGUGUUAAUGAAUUUGACAACCUGUGCAGAUCUGUGCUGAACAGAUUAGAAAAUGUUAUGAUAGAUGCCCGAUCAACAGGAAACAUUAUCACUAGAGCCUAAUUGUUUUAUAGUUGUGGAUGAAAUUUAGGGGUGAUGUAUAAGAGAAUGAAAUUAUAAUAUCAUGACGUGGUUCUUUUAUCAUCGCCAUGCUCAGUAUCUGGCUUUAUAUGUUUUCUAUUAUUGUAUGGACUGGUAAACAUAGUGCAUGAGCUUUAUUUGAGCUGAUAUAUAAACAAGAAUGCUAAUUUAACUAGAGCUUUAAGAGUUUGGAGAUUGUAGUUAUGAAUAUUAUGUUUUAUUUGAUGAGUCUCAACAGUGUUUGGUUAAUUUUUCUAAAUUUUGAUGAUGGCAAGUCACUGGUUUUUGAGACGGGGAACACCAACUUCUUCGCAACAAUUGGUGCGAUCUUCUCCGCAACUGAUUUUGUUUCCACUUUGAAGGUUAAUCGUUCAUCAGGUUGGGUUGUUGACAAUAGGCAAAUGAGGAGUAUCUAUCUUACAUGAUAUCGAAGUCAAACGGUCAAUAGGCACACAGUGAGAAGUAUGGCAUUAAGGGUAACCACACAAUAUGUGUGAUAACUUGUUUGUCAAUUUUGUCAAUUUUGCAAUUUGGUGGGCUAAUCUGAUCUCCAAAAUCACAAGGGAUAAUACGUUUAAGUUUGAUGCUAAAUGGGGCCGGUUAGGUAACGGGUCGAAUGAGUAAUCACGGAAUGGGUUUGCUGAUGUUGGGUUGUUGGCACUAAUAGGUAGGAAUGUGUUGUGAUUUGGAUCCAAACUGCUCCUCGUGGCUUUUUGGUAAUUCCUUCUAUUUUUAAAUAUUCAUGUAAUAACUACAAUUUAGUUUAUGAUAUGAUUUGAAUUUGGUAUAGAGAAGAUGCACAUUGAGAGCUUUGAUAGGAUUGGUAAGGCUGCAAACUUUAGUCUAAGGGUGGCAUGUCAUGAAACAAGUGGUAUGCACUGCUCUGGGUCUAACAUAGAGUCGGGGCUUGACGGUGUUGUAAAUUGUCAAUGUCGUCGCUUCGCGCGGGUUUCUUACUAUAUAUAGUACAUAUAAGAAAACUACUAGACACAAGUGUCGUAAUGCAAAGUGUUGCCCCUGCCGCAUCGCGCGGGCACCCUACUAGUAUUCAGUACAUAGUAGUUGGUGUAUAUUACGCUUUUGCAGCCCAAGGCGACAAGAGUUGGUAUCCGACCUUGUUCCGCCCGCCACCAGAAUAUAUUUACUUUUUUUGAGAUCCAUUUUACCAACUCGAAAGGGUAGUACGAAAUCGCACAUACAUUCAGCAAAUUUCUGCAAGAACUCACUGUAAAGGAUCCAGUUGCAUCCCAUUCCCAACACCACUUGUCCCGGCUCCCAUUUAGCAGCAGUUAUUUUCCAAAAACAUUAUGUGAAAACAAUAACUGUAUUGGCAGUUAUUUAUGAUAUGUAUUUUCUAAAAUGUAAUGUUGUACUUCAUCUACAUAUCAUAAAGUCAAUUAUUCUUUAGUAGA